AGAGUUUGAUCAUGGCUCAGAUUGAACGCUGGCGGCAUGCCUUACACAUGCAAGUCGGACGGCAGCGCGGGGGCAACCCUGGCGGCGAGUGGCGAACGGGUGAGUAAUACAUCGGAACGUGUCCUGGAGUGGGGGAUAGCCCGGCGAAAGCCGGAUUAAUACCGCAUACGAUCUAGGGAUGAAAGCGGGGGACCGAAAGGCCUCGCGCUCAAGGGGCGGCCGAUGGCAGAUUAGCUAGUUGGUGGGGUAAAGGCCUACCAAGGCGACGAUCUGUAGCUGGUCUGAGAGGACGACCAGCCACACUGGGACUGAGACACGGCCCAGACUCCUACGGGAGGCAGCAGUGGGGAAUUUUGGACAAUGGGGGCAACCCUGAUCCAGCAAUGCCGCGUGUGUGAAGAAGGCCUUCGGGUUGUAAAGCACUUUUGUCCGGAAAGAAAACCUCCGUCCUAAUACGGUGGGGGGAUGACGGUACCGGAAGAAUAAGCACCGGCUAACUACGUGCCAGCAGCCGCGGUAAUACGUAGGGUGCGAGCGUUAAUCGGAAUUACUGGGCGUAAAGCGUGCGCAGGCGGUUCGCUAAGACCGAUGUGAAAUCCCCGGGCUUAACCUGGGAACUGCAUUGGUGACUGGCGGGCUAGAGUAUGGCAGAGGGGGGUAGAAUUCCACGUAGCAGUGAAAUGCGUAGAGAUGUGGAGGAAUACCGAUGGCGAAGGCAGCCCCCUGGGCCAAUACUGACGCUCAUGCACGAAAGCGUGGGGAGCAAACAGGAUUAGAUACCCCGGUAGUCC
rnacentral:rRNA from 1 species